CAGGAUUCCUCAGGGGAAACAUUUACAGCCUUACUGCAACUGAGCUAUGUGCGACUACACGGAGUGCCGGACUACAUAUCACAGAAUGCUGGAGUUGGGGGAAAAACAGAACAGUACCGCCCUCCUGGACUACACUUAUGGAAUGUCCAAGCCUUCUGAUGUGGAAGUGUCCAACUACCUUGAGCUGCUGGUUUUCAUUUUCCAGAAUCCCUCACUUCUCUUUAGAGACAGCGUCUUGUUGUUUCCCAGAAUGGAGUACAGUGGCUAUUCACAGGCGUGAUCAUAGCACACUGCAGCCUUAAAUUCUUGGGCUCAAGUGAUCCUCCUGCCUCAGCCCCCUGGGUAGCUGAGACUACAGGCAUGCACCACCACACCCAGCUCAGGACAUAGCAUCUGUCUCCUCCAGAGGAUGCAGCAACUAGAUGCCAUAUUGGAAGCAGACAGCAGCAGCCCUCACCAGACGUUAAACCUGCCAGCAUCUUGACCUUGGACUUCCCAGCCUCAAGCACUGUGACAGAUAAAUUUCUAUUGUUUAUAAAUUACCUAAUCUGUGGUAUUCUCUUAUAGCAGCAUAAGAUACAAGGUUAGCCCUUGACUGGUGUCUGGGAACUUGAAUUUCAGGAGGAUUUCCACAAUUCCCUGAUAAGAGUGGCUCACCAUGCCCCAGCUAUUUGUAUAAUGUGAUUUAUGCUGAAUUCCUUCUGAGAAUCUAGAAUUUUGGCCCAAGCUGGCCUGUGUGACCAGUUCCAAAACAAAACACAACGUAGUGCCUAGGGCACUAAGUCUCCAUUGAGCUUACUGGGUAGACAUUUCACGUUACAAUUCAAUGCUGGAAAAACAGUACAUCAUGAAUGAUUCCGCAGGGAGAGGAUUAUUGGAAGCUUGUACCUAAUUUCUUCUGGACUUCAUCCCAUGCACAUUUUCCCGUUGCUCAACUGACUUUGUAUCUUUUACUAUAAUAAAUCAUAGUGACUAUGAUAA